CCUACGGGUGGCUGCAGUCGAGAAUCAUUCACAAUGGGGGAAACCCUGAUGGUGCGACGCCGCGUGGGGGAAUGAAGGUCUUCGGAUUGUAAACCCCUGUCAUGUGGGAGCAAAUUAAAAAGAUAGUACCACACGCGGAAGAGCCGGCUAACUCUGUGCCAGCAGCCGCGGUACUACAGCGGUCUCAAGCGUUGUUCGGAAUCACUGGGCGUAAAGCGUGCGUAGGCUGUUUCGUAAGUCGUGUGUGAAAGGGGCGGGCUCAACCCGAGGACGGCACAUGAUACUGCGAGACUAGAGUAAUGGAGGGGGAACCGGAAUUCUCGGUGUAGCAGUGAAAUGCGUAGAUAUCGAGAGGAACACUCGUGGCGAAGGCGGGUUCCUGGACAGUAACUGACGCUGAGGCACGAAGGCCAGGGGAGCGAAAGGGAUUAGAUACCCGAGUAGUC
rnacentral:rRNA from 1 species